UUUAUGAUUUUUUUGGUGAAAGUCUAGAAAAUGAAGCCAUUGCACAAGUGCUCAUGAAGCCAUGCUUCACAGACACCUCACCCUGGUACCUGGCCAAAGCAUCCUACCCAUGGAGGGGGUGAGUCUCUUGUACAUGAAGAAAAGAGACUGAAAAGCCUUUCGUACUUUAAAGCUUGCUAGAGAAGCACAAAAAGCUGUUGCAGUCUUUUGAGCAGAAACUGUCAGCCAAAAUGAAAUGAAAGCUGUAUCCUGAUCAGAAGCUCGCCACCCCCACCCCAACCCCUACUCCACAGGCAUGGGGAGCAGAGGCUUUGUCAGCAAUGGGGAGGGCAGCCAGCAAGAAGGAGGGCAGCCAGCCUGCAUGGUUCUUCCAAACACUGAGUGCCCAUUAGGCGUGAGGACAGCAAGAGACUAUGAAACACACAGAAACUUACUCCCGGACAUAACAUCUGCAAUCUUGAAACAAGAAGAGAUUUAAUGUUUCCAUCAGUUCAAAGGUAAUAGAGAAGUCACCAGAAGAAUGUCUGGACAAGAGGUAAACACCCAGCAAGAGGAUAAAUUCACAGACAUCAGUGAUUUGGGAAAUCAAUCCCUGGGGUCAGUGUGAACUUUGCUCUGGGUCUGCCACUGUUUUCCCUGAAAUAAUGGCCUUUGGAGGCUUGAACUAGUGCAUUUCCUUACCC
rnacentral:lncRNA from 1 species